rnacentral:sRNA from 1 species
GCUGGGCGUGGGGGUGCACACCUGUAAUCCCAGUGGCGUGGGAGGCUGAGGCAGGAGGAUGGUGAGUCCAAAGACAGCCUCAGCAACUUAGCAAGGCCCUAAGCAAUUCAUUAAUACCCAAUCUCUA